UACGUAGGUGGCAAGCGUUGUCCGGAUUACUGGGCGUAAAGAGCGCGCAGGCGGCCAAGUCAGUCGAAUGUGAAAGCCCCCCGGCUUAACUGGGGAGGGUCAUUCGAUACUGCUCGGCUCGAAGACAGGAGAGGGAAGCGGAAUUCCCGGUGUAGUGGUGAAAUGCGUAGAUAUCGGGAGGAACACCAGUGGCGAAGGCGGCUUUCUGGCCUGUUCUGACGCUGAGGCGCGAAAGCUAGGGGAGCAAACG
rnacentral:rRNA from 1 species